CUUGCAACCAAUAAGAGGUCCAGCCUGCCCAGUGACUCUGUUCAACGGCCGCGGUAUCCUAACCGUGCAAAGGUAGCGCAAUCACUUGUCCUUUAAAUAAGGACUAGUAUGAACGGCACCACGAAAGCUAUACUGUCUCCUUCCCCUAAUCAGUGAAACUAAUCUCCCCGUGAAGAAGCGGGGAUAAUUUUAUAAGACGAGAAGACCCUAUGGAGCUUUAAACACACAACAAUUGUAACGGACCCCCUUCUUCUUCCCCGGAAGAAACUGCCUACCCGAACAUUUUGAUUGCAAGUUUUAGGUUGGGGUGACCGCGGAGCAAAAAUUAACCUCCAUAGUGAACGGGAUUCUUUCCCCCUAAACCCAGGGCCACAGCCCCAAGGAUCAAUAAAUUGACACCCAUUGACCCAAUACUUUUGACCAACGAAC
rnacentral:rRNA from 1 species